AGAAAUAUGUUUGAACAAAGAAAAGCUGCUAACUUUUCCCCGAGCGGUUUAAUUCCGUUAAUAUUUCUA
rnacentral:tRNA from 1 species